rnacentral:rRNA from 1 species
GACGAACGCUGGCGGCGCGCCUAACACAUGCAAGUCGCACGGGAUCUUUUAAGAAAGCUUGCUUUCUUGGCUGAUCUAGUGGCGGACGGGUGAGUAACACGUGAGCAACCUGCCCUACAGAGGGGGAUAACGUCUGGAAACGGACGCUAAUACCGCAUGAAAUACCGAGUGGGCAUCCACAUGGUAUCAAAGGAGAAAUCCGCUGUAGGAUGGGCUCGCGCCCGAUUAGGUAGUUGGUGGGGUAAAGGCCUACCAAGCCGACGAUCGGUAGCCGGACUGAGAGGUUGAACGGCCACAUUGGGACUGAGGCAAGGCCCGAAAUCCUGCGAGAGGCAGCAGUGGGGGACAUUGCACAAUGGGGGAAACCCUGGUGCAGCAACGCCGCGUGAAAGAAGAAGGCUUUCGGGUUGUACACUUCUGUGACCAGGGAAGAAACAAAUGACGGUACCUGGAAAACAAGCCACGGCUAACUACGUGCCAGCAGCCGCAGUAAGAC